UGUACCAGCCUCGGGGCCAGCCAUAAGCACUACAGCUCCAGCCUCUCCACGCAGUGCUCCUCUUCUACACAACCCUGAGGAAAGAAGAGCCCAGCAGUCUGCCCAGCUAAGCCCAAGUGCUACAGAGAAGUUGCCAGAUUCUACCACAGAAGUGAAGGAAUGGAUACUAAGGAGGCCCUCUCUGGAGUGAGAGCUACCUGGCCUACAGGGUGAAUACCCUGGAAAGAAUAUAAGGGACAGAAAGGGGGCUGCUGUGCUCACUUGUUGCUUGCUUCUUACUGCCUUCUGCCUGCUCUGCAAGGCCCCUCUGCCAUGUACCACCCUAUCUUGAAGCCAGCCAACUUCUACAAACUAGGCUGAUGUGCACUAAGGAGCUAGCCAACAUAUGUGACAAAAAGAACCAGGAUCCCUGGUCACUGCAUUGAAGAAAGCUACUAUAGACUAGAUUGCAUCACUAUGAGGACCUUCUCCAACCUGCCCAGGCCCUCAAGCCUACCACCCCAGCUGAAAUGCAGGAGAAUUGAUUCACUGAUGAAGAAAGAAAGUAUUCAGAGGCACAGAUUCUGUCCACACAACAGCAAUGGGCAGCAUAAAUCACAGGCAGCCACUGGAAUGGGCAGUGAAAACCACAAACACCAGACAAAUACUUUCAAAAGCUGGCUGAACUCCCAGUGGCCAAGAAGACACUAAAACCCAACGUGGCUGGAAAAAAGAACAUCAGUGAACAUCAACAUCACUGCCCUUUCCUUCCCACAAGCACUCAGCCCUACAUAGCUGAUGUUAAAGAUGGUCAACCACUCAGUCAUCCAGAAACCUGGGAAUCAUUCCACCUUCCUCCCUCUGAAUUACUCUCUACUCCCAACAACAGAUCCUGCCCAGGGAAUCCAAAAUGUAUCGCCAAUCAAGAAAUGAUAAGCUAAACUAGAUGUGGAAGAGAGAAACGAAAGAAGAAAAAUAUGGAAAACACCAAAAAAUUGACACGGGAAUGGAGUUAAUACAGAAAUAUAUAACACACACCAUAAAGACCUCUAUGGUCACAGAGAGUAUGAGGUGGGGUACAGAUUUAGCUUGAAACUGUCUGACAGCCAAUAGAAGAGGAAAACCCAACCAGUGAUAUAAUCCACAGAAUCCAGAAGAUAAAAUGUCACUAGUCUUCAUGUCAAAGGAACUGGUAUUCAACAAUGCCCCCACUUCCCACAAAACAAUCUCUUCCAAAUGUGAUAAGAGUUGGAAGAGGACUGAGCUCCUCUGCACAAAAGGGAGCCGAGGUUAAGUAGAAAGAACAUGAGCUUUUCCUCUACUGAUGGUCCUGAUCAUUCUAAGAACAAAGGACACCAUGUUUGUAUAGUGCCAGGUAGAAUCUGACCCAUGAUAGCCAUUAUUAUGCAGAGGAAGAUAGGAUAGAAAUGGAGUGGAGGAAGUGUAGGUGGAAGAGGAACAAGAAAAUUAAUGAAGUGAUCUUGACAUCUCUGUUCCUCACCCCUAAAAUUGAGAAAACAUUGUUGAUUUCACAGGUUUAAUGGGACAAUUCAGUGAGAUAAUAGGGAAACAUGCAUUUUCAAAAUGGGUACGAUAGCUAAGCCACUGUUCCGUGAUGGUGAUUGCAGAACACACGUGACUGGCACUUCUUGAAGACAUUCUCUCUGUGACAAUGAAGAAAGCAAAAUCUUCCAUCCUUUGCACUCUGUCGUGUGGAUAUAUUUAUUCUCUGUUAUCUAAAGGUCUUCCUUUCCACCUUCAGCCAGUCUUCCACUGGCAUCCUUCAUCUGGAGCCAGCUGCCCAUCAUACAGGGCCCAGCCCAUCCCCCAGCACCUCUUCCCUUCCCUUUCUGACCAACUAGUCUCCAUCAACCAGAUGGUCCCUGACAUAGAAUGCUUUGACUUGUGAUUUUUCUAUUUUAUGAUGGUACAAAAGCAGUAUGCACUCACUAAAAACCAUAUUGAACUGAAUUUUGAUCUCUUCCCAAAUUAGCAAUAUGCAGUGUGGUCCUCCGUCCUGAUGCUUGGCGAUGGCAGCUAGCCACAGUCCCAGGUCAACCUCAUGAUAAUAAAGAUGAAUACUGACACUCCACAGCAUACUGUGUUGCUAAUCCAGGAUGCUCAGUAAGUUAGGUUUACUCAGUGCAUUUAAGGGUAGUAUUUUCAACCAAGGAUAACCCCACUGUAAGUUAAGGAGCAUCUAUAUUCCAAAACUGCCCUCUUUGUCUCUAGUAACAACAUUGAUAAUACUCAGUGUUCUUGUCCAGACCUUGUCACUGGUCUGUAAAUUUUUUGAAGGCAGAGACAUGUGCCACUUUUUGUGCUGUACAUGUAGGCUAGUACCAGUAUUUAGAAGGAACUCCAUGAACAAUAAAAGUAGACUCUUAAGUACUGUGAUGCUUAACUGAUGACCAUUCUUGCCUGAACUGAAGAUGUAACAUCAACACCUUCAACGGGAAUUAACAAAGGCUAGAAAUUAUUUUUAAACUUAUGCUCAUUCAAGUUGCAAAGCCAAAUUCCAGAAAGCUUCCCAACAUAAAAACAUUCAUUUAGAUCUAAACUUUUCUCAUCUAAGCGCACUUGGACACAUGCAAAUAAAUCAU